GCAUAUUUUAGAGCUUAAAUCAUAUUAUUAAUAUAAAUAAUAUUACUUUCAAAUCCAAUUUAUUAAUUAAAUUAAAUUAAUUAAACUAAAAAUAAAUUUAUUGUAACCCACCUCUUCUUAUAUAUACUGCACCUUGAUCUGAUUUUUAUUAUAAUUUUAAAUCUUGAAUAUUUAAAUUCUUAUAAAAUAUUCAAAUUACGAUGAUAUACAAAUAAAAAAUAUAAGUACUUAUAAUCGUGGACUAUCAAUUAUAGGACAGGUUCCUCUGAAAAGACUAAAAUACCGCCAAAUUUUUUAAUUUUAUAAGACUAUAACUAUUACUAAUUUUAUACAAUCAUUUUACAUUUUU
rnacentral:rRNA from 1 species